rnacentral:rRNA from 1 species
UACAGAGGGUGCAAGCGUUAAUCGGAUUUACUGGGCGUAAAGGGCGCGUAGGUGGUUGUGUAAGUGAGAUGUGAAAUCCCCGGGCUUAACCUGGGACGUGCAUCUUAGACUGCAUAACUGGAGUGUAGUAGAGGGUAGUGGAAUUUCCGGUGUAGCGGUGAAAUGCGUAGAUAUCGGAAGGAACACCAGUGGCGAAGGCGGCUACCUGGACUAACACUGACACUGAGGCGCGAGAGCGUGGGGAGCAAACAGG